GGUAUAGCUCAGUGGUAAAGCCCUUGCUUAGCAAGCAUGAGGCACUGGGUUCAAUCCUCUGUACC
rnacentral:tRNA from 1 species